CUGGACGGACUUUUUCAGAAAGAUAUUGGUACUUAACUGUACUGUAGGGAGAGGUGGAAGAUUCACGUUCUUCCUAUUUGACCCGAAACCGAUCGAUCUAGCUAUGAGCAGGUUGCCAGCUUAGUUUUUCGUAGGUACUCAUAGGGGUAGGGUUGCGUGCGUGUGUUCAUAGGAGCGACUGUGCGUGCGUGUAUGUGAGCGUCAGCGUAUGUAAUGUGAUUCGGAAAAAAAAAAGUAUGGCACGGCACAAGUAUAUAUGCAAAACGAAAUUAAUUAAAGUCAAUAUAAAUGCUGGCCUUGAUCCAUGUUCCUGACCUAACGGCCAUGGUAAGAAUUUGUUAAAUCUGACCGUAAUUUUUAUUUGGCAUGGUUUGUUUUCCUUAAGAUAUAUAAGUAUACGAUGCUCUAGCGUCUUCAUUGUCUGUGGUCUACAUUGCCUCCUUCGAUUGUAGCUGCUAGCCUGCUGCAAUUUUCUACGACUUCCACGACAACGAUUAUUGGGUGCUGAUUUAACCUUGAAAUGAUCUUGCUUUCUUUGCCGUGCGAGACGGGACAACCCGUACCCAUGAGAAAAGCAAUGAUAAAUUAUUAAUGAUUUUAGAACCUAGACUUAGGCCCGCUAAUAGGGCAGGUUGAAAUAGGUUUUAGGGGUGGAUUGUGAUGCGGGUGUGUUUGAACAGGUUAAAAUGGAUUUUAGUAUUUAUUGGGUUGGAACGGGUUGGAAGUGUUUUUUUUUAAAGUUUGUAUGGGUUUAACUGAGUUUAAGUCAUAGGUUUAAGUUUCAGGUUUCGGCUCUUGACGUGGGAUCUAUUUGUAGUUUUAGUCACUGUACUUUGUAUAAAGUAGUGGAUUGUCAAACUGAUUUAUCUCCAGCGAAGUUUAAUCAAUUUCUCUAAAAUUUUAAUGUGUGAAUGAGAGCUUUUAGUUUUAGGGUCUGACUCUUGACGCGGGAUCCACAUAUAAGUCUAGCCGCACUACUUUGCAUAAAGUAGCGGACUGUCAAACUGAUUGAUCUGCAACAAAUUUUAUUCAGUAUCGCUUAAAUUUUAAAGUGUGAACGCGAGGUUUUAGUUUUAGGGUCCGAUCUUGACGUGAGACCUACAUGUAAGUCCAGCUACACUACCUUGCACAAAGUAGCAGGCUGUCAAACUGAUUCAUCUACAACAAAUUUCAGUCAAUUUCGCUCAAAGUUUAAAGCGUGAACGUGAGAUUUUAGUUUUAGCGUCCGACUCUUGAUGCGGGACCCACAUGUAAGUCCGGUCGUACUACUUUGCAUAAAGUAGCGGACUGUCAAACUGAUUUAUCUACAACAAAUUUCAAUCAAUUUCUCUAAAAUUUUAAGGUGCGAACAUGAAGUUUAUAUAAACUCAUAGGUUCAUAUACAAAUCCAUGGGUUAUAUCAAUUGGUGGGCAGGUCAGGUUAGGUUUAGACAAUAAAAUUAUGGAGUAGGACAGAGUGGGUGAAUGAGUUAAUUUGUUGCGGGUUGGGAUGGGUUUCAACCCAUUAGCAGACCUACCUAAAAUUAAUAAUCGCAUCAAGAACUCAACUAGUAUGCUUCGUGAAAGAACAAAAUAGUUCUUAUUAGCUCUCUUUUGCCAUCUGAAGUAGUUUAAUUAGGCAGGGAGUAGCAGUUAAUCCUCUCCCGUCCAUCAUUCUGUUGCGACAUGCUUCUCGUUGGGCCGUGUCCAUCCUUCGUUUGCAACAAGGUUUCUCAUGACACAGCCGCCUUCAGGACACCAACCAAACAGCAUCACAGUCGGAAACGCAAUCGGCCGAUUCCGUCUCCGGGCUUGAUUGAUCGCACUCCCAGCGUGAGCAUGACCAAACUUUCCUUGCUAGGGAGAAGAGGAGCAGGGCCUAUUUUUUCUGCAUGCCAACUUGCCAUAUGCCAAGACCCAGACCUUCGUCGCCGGCUGGUCGUCGCUCGAGUACGUAGAUCACUUUGGCACGCGCAUCCACAUUCUUGAGUUCGAAUGAGCUUUACCGGCGUAGUCACCGUUACUUGACUAUCCGGAGAAAGAUGCAAACGAUUCCUUCCGUUCUUACUGUAUACUCCCU
rnacentral:lncRNA from 1 species